AGGAUGUCGUUUUCCAGUGGCUAAUGGGUGAUAAAAUGUAUCUGAACCAGAUAGAUGCGGAGGACCCCGAGAUCCCAGAUUACACCAUGCUACCAGACACAGGCUGCCUGUCUGUGCGACUACGAGUAUGCUUGCAAGAGGGAGAGGAAAACCCACGAGACUUUACCUCCCUGUUUGACAUGUCUACUCAAGCUAUCAAACACUUUUCCCCAAGUCAUCAGGUGGAAAUACAUACUGCUUUAGAAACUGGACAGACAUCAGUUCAUUACUGUAGGCCAUAGUUGGUGGCUACAUGUUUUGUCUGCUUUGCCUACAUGUUUACGGUGUGUUUGUUGACACCAGUGUGUUUGACUUGUCUCACUGCAGUUCCUACAAGCAGAUGUCAAACAUGAGCCCCUCCAGCUGAUCACACCUCAGUUUGAGACUCCCCUUUCCCAGCUGGAGCCUGCUGUAGGUUUCCCCUCUCCAGCUCUACACAAUCUCACCCAGCUCCUAGCUCAGCCAUCUCACAGAUUGAAUGUGGAUUCUGUACACUCGACUGACAAUGGCAUGUGCACUAGACUGUAUUCAACAACACUUUUUGCUAAUUGACUGGGAUUUAUUAAAAUGGGACAAUACACACUUGAUCAUUGUAGAAAAUUAUACAUUUUCCAUCCCUCUAAAAUGUGUGUGCUCUCCUAUGGAUUGCUUUGAGCAGGUCUUUCCGCCUGUCUUCAGGGACAUGCCUCCCCCCAUGCUUGACCUGGAUGAAACCUUCUCAGAUUGCGUUUGGCACAGCUCUCCAACAAAUGUAAGUGUUAACCACAGGUUAUAUUUGAAUCGAGCAUUAUUAACGGAAAGUGUUCUGUAUUCUUCCUGCAGGCACCGACGACAAGCUAGAGUUCUACGUGAGGAAGUGUGGAUACAUCUUGGGGGUGAGGAGAAGUUGGAUAAAGACCAAAGGGAUGCCAAACACAUCCUGGAGCACAUCAUCUUUCAGGUUGUAGAGUUCAAGAAGCUCAACCAGGAACAUGACACACAGACCAGGUUUUCCCCAUUCUGACCUAUCAACCAGUGACUUCAAACUACAUGACCAAAAAUGUGGACACCUGCUUGUCAAACAUCAUGGGCAUUAAGAGUUGGUCUCCCCUUUGUUGCUAAUACAGCCUUCCACUCUCCUAGUGGAAAGCCUUCCUAGAUGUUGGGACUUGUUUCCGUUCAGCCAGGAGCAUUAGUGAGGUCGGGCGAUUAGGCCUGGGUUACAAUUCAUCCCAAAAGGUGUUUUUGUUCUGACCUCGCACAGGGUAUUGUCAUGUUGAAACAGGGAAUUUACUUCCAAACUGUUGCCACGAAGGUGGAUGUACAGAAUUGUCUAGAAUGUCAUUGUAUGCUGUAGUGUUAAGAUUUCCCUUCACUGGAACUAAAAAGGGCCUAGCCCAAACCAUGAAAAACAGCCCCAGACCAUUAUUCCUCCGAACUUGUUGGCACUAGGACAGAUUGUUUACGCUCUUCAGCAUUCCCGUUCUGUGAGCUCCUGUGGCUUACCACUUCACGGCCGAGCCAUUGUUGCACCUGGAAGUUUACGUCACAAUAACAGCACUUAGUUGACCAGGGCAGUUUUAGCAGGGCAGAAAUUUGACGAUACGUCUUGUUGGAAAGGUGGCACCCUAUCACAUUUAAAGUCACUGAGCGCUUCUACUGCCAAUGUUGGUCUGAGGAGAUUGCAUGGCUGUGCACUCAAUUUUACCCAUGUCCGUAACAGGUGUGGUUAAAAUAGCCAAAUCCACAGUCGAGAUUCUAUAUAGUUUUUCCAUUAAAUAUAAAAAAUGUAACUCCAUAUCCUCCAUCAAACUGAAGAGAUAGUUGAUUUGUGUUCU